CCUACGGGUGGCAGCAGUGAGGAAUAUUGGUCAAUGGGCUUACGCCUGAACCAGCCAAGUCGCGUGAGGGAAGACUGCCCUAUGGGUUGUAAACCUCUUUUGUCAGGGAGCAACGCCGGCUACGUGUAGCCGGACUGAGAGUACCUGAAGAAAAAGCAUCGGCUAACUCCGUGCCAGCAGCCGCGGUAAUACGGAGGAUGCGAGCGUUAUCCGGAUUUAUUGGGUUUAAAGGGUGCGCAGGCGGCGAGUUAAGUCAGCGGUAAAAUUUCGGGGCUCAACCCCGACAAGCCGUUGAAACUGGCUUGCUAGAGUGGGCGAGAAGUAUGCGGAAUGCGUGGUGUAGCGGUGAAAUGCAUAGAUAUCACGCAGAACUCCGAUUGCGAAGGCAGCAUACCGGCGCCCAACUGACGCUCAGGCACGAAAGCGUGGGUAUCGAACAGGAUUAGAUACCCUGGUAGUC
rnacentral:rRNA from 1 species